ACUGGAGUUUUAAUAGAUUGUUGGCGAUAUUCCUAAGAUAAACGGCUACAAAUUCUAAAUGGCAGCAAGUCAAACAGGCAUUCAAAAUGAAAGGUUCUCUUAGUACCAGAAUGACUAAGCUGCCGCGCAUAGCUGAUAAUCAAGAUACAAAUACCGUUCAUCGGUCGGGACACCCUCUUGCAGCAACCAGAUGGUGUUCGUCGUCAAUACUGACUCACCUUCCAACGAUAUACCUCGACGGUAAUUACUGCGGCCAGAUCAUAACGACUAGCUACGGCUACACUUUAAAAAAGCAGGUGGGUAUUUAUUAAGAUAUCUUUGUAAAUUCGUAAUGAAGAAGUGCGUAUGACUAAUUAACCAAUAAUACUCUAGAUACCUAGGUUCUUAAGUUCCGUUUACAAUAAUUACUAAUGCGCAGUAUUAUAACGCAGGUUUGUCUCGGUCUCGCAGAAUGUAGACGAGGACAUCGCGCAGUCCGUCACAACGACGUGAGUGAAUCUCAAAAAGUUGGAUGACACCUGGGUACAUCAUUUCGAUCCUGAAACCAAACGGCUAUAUUCAGUGGCCAUUACGGGUUUAUUUAUUUUGCUGCCCUGUGAUGAUAGUAUUUGAACUGUAAAGGCAAUAAAAUAUCCCCCUUAGAUAGCAACU